UACACCCUUGGGACUGUCACACAUUUAGUUUUAUAAUAUUAUUGUUAUUUUUUUUUUAUUGUUCAAAUGUGUGCAUCCUGAGGCGGUAGCGUUUUUGGUUCGAAGCCGCUAACGGACACCAGUUCUAAAGUUGACUGAGAACAUUGUUGACAAUGAUAAUCCCAAAUAGGAYUUAAAACGAUACCAUUGAAGGCUCUAAAAUGUCCAACUUAUCAUUAUCAACAGCUACAAAAUUGUCKUUAACAUUCAGAGGAACAUAAUGAGAAAUUUAAAAAAAA